rnacentral:rRNA from 1 species
UACGUAGGCAGCGAGCGUUGUUCGGAAUUACUGGGCGUAAAGAGUGUGUAGGCGGUGCUCUAAGUUCGGUGUGAAAUCUCCCGGCUUAACUGGGAGGGUGCGCCGGAAACUGGAGUGCUCGAGCGUGGGAGAGGAAAGCGGAAUUCCUGGUGUAGCGGUGAAAUGCGUAGAUAUCAGGAGGAACACCUGCGGUGUAGACGCUUUCUGGACCAUGCUGACGCUGAGACACGAAAGCGUGGGUAGCAAACAGG